UGAGGGGAAGGAGCGGCUCCGGCGGGCCGGGCUCCCCCGGUUCGCUGCCAUGAGGGGAAGGAGCGGCUCCGGCGGGCCGGGCUCCCCCGGUUCGCUGCCAUGAGGGGAAGGAGCGGCUCCGGCGGGCCGGGCUGUUUUCUGCCGCUGCCAUGAGGGGAAGGAGCGGCUCCGGGCGGGUCGGGCUCACUCGGCUCGCCGCCAUGAGGGGCCGCCGCCGCCAAUGAGGCCUUCAGCCGAUAGGGGAUCGCGGUGCCCCGGAGCUGUGGGUGGCCGGGCGCCGCCCGAAGGAGCCCUGAGGUGACCCGACCCCGUCGUGUGUGAAAGCCGAGCUGUGCUGUGCUGGGACAGCCAAGGAGGCAUCUCCAGGGGGGCACUGGAGCCUGCCGAGAGGAGAUGUGAAGGGAUAACCUGCCCGUGAGGCACAGGGAGAGCUCUGGAGCAACGUUGAGUGAGGUAAAUUGUUGGUUUGGGGCUUGCUGGAGCAGCAGGAGUGGUCAGAAGUAAAAGCUGUGGAUGCUGCUUUGAAGAUCCGUGUUAGAAAGGUAUUGGGAAGAUGGAAACCUGGAGCCCACAGUUUAAACGGGGCAGCUAGAGAAGAAUUCGUUUUCAGGAUGUGGAUGUAGGAAUUGGAAACAUCAAAGGUGUAUUAAAGGGCGAGAUAUAACAAGAAUUAUGUGUAAAAUUUAUUGUUAAUCUCCUCUCAGUGCUUGUUUAAAAUACAUUUUUAUAUGACCUCAA